rnacentral:ncRNA from 1 species
AAACCUGGUGUGUUAUGGAAAAACAAAGUCCAUGGCGUGUGUGCAUGCCCACACAUGUAUACAUUGUUAUUAUGUAUACAUGUUGCGUGCACACGCCGAUGUGGGCGGAGUAGUGUAAUCGAAAAAAUCCCAACUGCAGACCGUACUCAUCACCGCAUCAGGUCCCCAAGCAUCGAAUGCUCUGGUACAUAGAGAAAGGUACACUCAGGGAAGUCGGCAAAAUAGAUGCGUAAGUUCGCAAGAAGCAUUGGCUCUGAGGGCAAAGCGGGAGGACCCCGGUGGGCCAGUGUCCCCGUGUGCACGGCCGCGUCUGCGUGCUGCUGUUUUGGCGCUUCUGCGCCUUAGCACACUCGCGGCGACCGCGUGCUCGGUGUGAAGGCUACCCACCCGAGGUGCCCGGCAUAAUUUUCUUGUCGUGUGUGCCUCACUCCCGCACGGUGUGUUUUUGUUUCUUCUCCUUUUCCUUUGCGAUAAGGGCUGGAACGCCACCACAAAUUGCCAACUCAGAACUGCUUACGGCGGGGAAUCCAACUGUAUAAUUAAAACAUAGGUUUGUGAUGCAUCCAGGUGGUGUAUGUCGCAAACUGAUUUCUGCCCAGUGCUCUGAAUGUCAACGUGACGAGAUCAC